rnacentral:rRNA from 1 species
AUGAAUGCUGGCGGCGUGCCUAACACAUGCAAGUCGAGCGGUAACAGGAGUAGUUUACUACUUGCUGACGAGCGGCGGACGGCUGAGUAACGCGUGGGAACGUGCCCCAAAGUGAGGGAUAAGCUCCAGAAAUGGAGUCUAAUACCGCAUAUGGUCUUCGGAUUAAAGGAUUUAUCCGCUUUGGGAGCGGCCCGCGUUAGGUUAGGUAGUUGGUAGGGUAAUAGCCUACCAAGCCUACGAUCUAUAGCUGGUCUGAGAGGAUGAUCAGCCAGACUGGAACUGAGACACGGUCCAGACUCCUACGGGAGGCAGCAGUGAGGAAUCUUCCACAAUGGGCGAAAGCCUGAUGGAGCAACGCCGCGUGAAGGAUGAAGGCCCUCGGGUCGUAAACUUCUUUCAUAAGUGAAGAACAUGACGGUAACUUAUGAAUAAGCACCGGCUAACUACGU